rnacentral:lncRNA from 10 species
GCAAUGGACCCAGCUCACGGGAGCUUGCAGUCUAACACAGGAAACAGCCACCUGCAUCUGUAAAGGUACUGAUGAGACCUCUUUAGUAUGACACUGGCAACUGACGGCACUGCGGAUAUGUUUGGAAUAAGGUUCAAAAGAAGAGGCUGUUCUAAGAAAGACUACCGAGUAAUCAAUCACCUCCUCAGAGAAAGUCUGCUCAGGGACCAGCUCUGUGAACACGGCAAGUAACAACAGAGAGAAAACGUGAGGAGAAAAGAGAGACCGGGAUUUUGAAAUCCUGUUUCCUGAAUGCCAUCUCACCAGGCACACGAAAGAAUAAAAUUAAGGAAUCAAGA